rnacentral:rRNA from 1 species
GAUGAACGCUGGCGGCGUGCCUAAUACAUGCAAGUCGAGCGAACAGACGAGGAGCUUGCUCCUCUGACGUUAGCGGCGGACGGGUGAGUAACACGUGGGUAACCUACCUAUAAGACUGGGAUAACUUCGGGAAACCGGGGCUAAUACCGGAUAAUAUAUUGAACCGCAUGGUUCUAUAGUGAAAGACGGUUUUGCUGUCACUUAUAGAUGGACCCGCGCCGCAUUAGCUAGUUGGUAAGGUAACGGCUUACCAAGGCAACGAUGCGUAGCCGACCUGAGAGGGUGAUCGGCCACACUGGAACUGAGACACGGUCCAGACUCCUACGGGAGGCAGCAGUAGGGAAUCUUCCGCAAUGGGCGAAAGCCUGACGGAGCAACGCCGCGUGAGUGAUGAAGGUCUUCGGAUCGUAAAACUCUGUUAUUAGGGAAGAACAAAUGUGUAAGUAACUAUGCACGUCUUGACGGUACCUAAUCAGAAAGCCACGGCUAACUACGUG